UACGUAGGGGGCAAGCGUUGUCCGGAUUUAUUGGGCGUAAAGAGCGUGUAGGCGGCUAGAUAGGUCCGUUGUGAAAACUCGAGGCUCAACCUCGAGACGCCGAUGGAAACCAUCCAGCUAGAGUCCGGAAGAGGAGAGUGGAAUUCCCGGUGUAGCGGUGAAAUGCGCAGAUAUCGGGAGGAACACCAGUAGCGAAGGCGGCUCGCUGGGCCGUUCCUGACGCUGAGGAGCGAAAGCGUGGGGAGCGAACAGG
rnacentral:rRNA from 1 species